UAUUAGGUUGGGGCAAAAGUCAUUGCGGUUUUUGCCAUUGAAAGUAAUGGCAAAAAAGGCAGUGACUUUUGCCCCAACCUAAUA
rfam:Gorilla gorilla gorilla genomic chromosome, chr10, whole genome shotgun sequence